UACGUAGGCAGCAAGCGUUGUUCGGAAUUACUGGGCGUAAAGCGUGCGUAGGCGGUUGGCUAAGUUUGGUGUGAAAUCUCCCGGCUCAACUGGGAGGGUGCGCCGAAAACUGGCCGGCUAGAGUGCGGGAGAGGGAAGUGGAAUUCCUGGUGUAGCGGUGAAAUGCGUAGAUAUCAGGAGGAACACCUGUGGUGUAGACGGCUUCCUGGACCGUGACUGACGCUGAGGCGCGAAAGCGUGGGGAGAAAACAGG
rnacentral:rRNA from 1 species